rnacentral:rRNA from 1 species
UACGGAGGAUGCAAGCGUUAUCCGGAAUGAUUGGGCGUAAAGCGUCCGCAGGUGGCUAUGUAAGUCUGCUGUUAAAGAGUGAGGCUCAACCUCAUAAGAGCAGUGGAAACUACAUAGCUAGAGUGCGUUCGGGGCAGAGGGAAUUCCUGGUGUAGCGGUGAAAUGCGUAGAUAUCAGGAAGAACACCGGUGGCGAAAGCGCCCUGCUAGGCCGCAACUGACACUGAGGGACGAAAGCUAGGGGAGCGAAUGGG